AUGUGGAACAACUUUGGCUCAAUUGGAAUGGUAAAGAGAAGAUAAGUAUUACCCCUUCAGAGAUGACAUACAAAUUCGUGAAGCAUUCCGUAUUUAA
rnacentral:snRNA from 1 species